rnacentral:sRNA from 1 species
AGAGUUUUGGUUAGUGUUUUGGAGUCAAAUAAGACUAUAUGUCAUGUGUAGUAUUGAGUAUAAGAACUAGAACCGCAACCGGUUCCCAAAAGGUAAAGUAGUGUUCCCUUGUUAGAAGAUAGAAAGCCAAAUACUCAUACGGACUUUGGCUUCACCAUAAAAGUUUUGAGAAACAAUAAGAAGCUUGGUUAGUGCUUUCGAGUCAAAUAUGACUAGAUGUCAUU